CAUAUUCUUGUUUGGGGGACCAUAUGAGAGAUACAUACUUCGCCUUGCCAGCUCAAAUUAAGUCUGCUAGUCUCGUUUUCUACACUUCUACGGCACCUGUUAUCUUUGCUUGCUGGCCUACCUACGAGUAGUUAAGUAAAUCUGCCGGCUUCAUUCCAGCCUCUGGUUUCUCCUCCACCCCUAUACCCGGGGAUUCUGAGGCUACGUCUUAAGGCCCAUCCACACGAUAGGGCAAAGUUCGUCGAACACAGCCCACUAUCGGACAAACUCCACUGACACAACAGACUGCCUUGUCCACACGUAAUCUGCCCCAGUCAAGCUCGGACAACAGCGAAAGAAUGGUCAGCCGGGUUGUGUGCAGUACGAGAACUAUGGUGAUCACCAAAAGGGAUCGCAAGAGAAUUGCAUUAUGGAGCAUAAUUGUUACUAUAUUAUGUGUGAAGAAAAAAAAGGAAGCGAGUGGAAAAAGCUACCUCCCGUCUGUGUUGGCUGCGGAAUGUGUCUAUUUCCUUUUUAUUGUCAUCAACUGAGUCACACGCCGAUCUUUUAUAUUUCAUCACAUAUGGUCUUGAGGGCAGGUGCACGCUUGUUCCUGUCAUUAUAUGUGACUAGUCUCACGUUCCACAAACAUGGGUUUUGAUGAUACGACUCUAUUAAAUGAAUAAUCGCCGUUCUCGACUACUGCUCUCUGGCGGGUACAGAGACAGACAUGUCGCUUUUUACUAACCCAACAGUGAUAAUUCAUAACCACAGACACUUGCCUCCUAAUGAAACUUCAUGUGUCUGGCAGCAACAUCGUAUUCCCGGGAUCGGGCAGUGCUUAGUGAUUUCGAACAGCUAUAUUCUACUCGUUGUUCAGCGGACAAAAGCAAGUUUGUCGUCGGGUAGACCACUCGCUUGUGUUCGAGGGCACUGUCCUAUCGUGUGGAUGGCUCUUUAGCCUAACUGGCGAGCGAAGGCAGACACCAGGGGCCGUACUUAUAAAACUCCACAAAGAUGCCGUCUUAGUUAGGAAAAGUACUUAACCUACGAGACUUAAGCGCUAAGAAUCUUUCCUAGCAGGAUGCUUUGUUAAGUAACCAUCUUUAGGCGCUUACACCGCUAACCGCUAACAUGAGCAGACGUUAUGUAAUGUUUGUUGAGGAAUUUUGCAAGAAACGGGUAAAAAUACGUAAUUUUUAUAUUUUAAAUAAAAAACAUAUUCAUCUAGUUAGUUUUCAACAAUCAUCUCUUCAUUUUACCCUUGAUAAUUGAAGGUAUAAAUUUACCACCACUGUUGUCAUCUUGUCAAACCAACAAUCAUUUGGCGCCAACUUCGACUGCGCACCAUGGCUACUCACGAGACUCAAGACAAGAAGAGGAACAGGAAGACAAACUGGACGCCUUCAUCCGGCCCACCUAUACAAAAUUCUCGCAAAAAUACUCCGGAGCGACUUCUCCACAGCUGGCUGCUCUAAGGAAGCCAGAAAUGCCGCUUGGAGGACCAAUAGUGCGGAGGUGUCUGCCGUGUCAGACAUUCUCCGCACUGAGGCGUGCCAGAAACAUUGGCAUAUUAUAAAAUCUGAGGCAUGACGGAACACCAGCAAGCAGAGAGAAGCCAUGACUGCCACAGGUGGUGGACCUCCUGCCAACCCUCCUCUCUCCCAGCACAAUGAGUUAAUCUUUGAGAUUUUGGACCCCAAGAAUGUCUCUAUUCAUGGGUGUACCAAUAAGGCAAGCAUCAUUGAAUGCACCUUCCUAAACAAAGGAUAAGCCACUUGUAGAUAUAGCAAUAUUAGGCCAUAAUGUUGUCUCAAAUGUCUGCAAUCCAAAAUACUCGUUCCCAUUUAGUUUACAACUUAGAGUUAAACACAAUGGUAAAUUUGUUAUCUAGUGUUGAGAAA